rnacentral:snRNA from 1 species
GCAUCAGCGUGCUCCGGGC